AUGGCCAAGCAUGCUAUAGACUACAGCGUGUUUGGGGGGCCUCAAAAAUUUGGAAAGUGGAUGGACGUGCACUCAGCUCCGUCUUGCCCCUCUGAGGCGAGGGCACCAGUUGAGCAUCUAAUUGGGCAGUUUGCAUCCGGAAUGACCGGCUUGCUCGGGAAGUUGGUUGAGGGGUGGACGUCCCUCAGUGCCUCUGACAGCGACGCGGUUGCGGGGCAGUUCACUUCAUUUGUCCCAGAACGUACAUAUCGGCCAACCGGUUGCCGUGGCCGGUAUGACUACAACAGUUCCCAAGAGCCCGGUGACACACAAGACGAUGUAGAUGGAGACGCUGGGCUCAGCAAGGAUGACGACGAUGACAUGGAUAAUGUGCAAGAGGACACCGAUGACAAUGAACAUGCUGAAGUUCGCACCGGCGGCAACAAGGGCAAGGAUGCAACAGAUGCCCCCCCACCGGAGAAAGUGAAAGGACAUGCGGUUGUGAGAGGCGAGGGGGUGUUGCCAUCAAGGAGGGGGAGGGCUCCAGAGGAUGUUGGGCAUGGUUCUCCUGGCAAGAGGUCUAGGACCGAUCCGGUAGCUGCCAGGAGGAGCGAGCCGACCGCUGGUGGAUGA
rnacentral:rRNA from 1 species